rnacentral:lncRNA from 1 species
AUGGAGGAUGGGGGAAGGGUGGGCUUUAUGUGUGUAUGUGAAAGAACGAGAUGGGGUGUUAGGGUUGCUUUAGCGGGGGGUGUUUAUAAAGGGGGAUAUGUGUGUGAGGGAAAGAAAAAAAGCAGGAGAACAACUCAGUGUUUUGGUGGAAUGUGUUUUGGAGGGCCACAGUGUGAAAUAUUUGGGGGGCUGAAUCACCCUCCCCCACCGUGCUCAAAACCCCCCUGUUGUGAUCAAUAGCAUUGAUUAGACCAGCUCGUAUCCAUACAGUCAGUUGAUGGCACAGAUCCCAGUCAGCAAUCUCAAUAUAUUCAGUCAAUCCAGUAGGGGCCACAUUUGUGUCAGGGUUGUAAACUUUGGAGGCCUUGUAACAUCCGUGCAUCACAUCUAAUUACAACAGCGUAAAAAGAGCAUAACAAUGUGUUUUACAUUUCCAAUAGAUAAACGAAACUAAACCACAAGUUACACCCAUGACUUGUGAUUCAGUCAAAUUACGUAAUUUAUAAACAAAAUUAGUGAUGCACCAAAAUAAAAUUUUGAGCCGAAAUGAUAAUAAUAGUAUUAGUAAUCAAAUUUGGUUAUAGUAAAGUCAUAGUAAAGUUCAUUGGCAGCAAGCCAUCUCCUGGUAUUUCAGCCAAAAAAUAAAUAAAAAAUGGUGAAAAAUUUUACUCAGAAAUUUCUAGUAAAUUUCACAAAUAGUUACAAAUAAAUAAUAAGUAACACAUUGAAACAUUACAUUUUGAAGUAGUGAAACUGAAAAGUUUUUCUUACACUCCAAUAAAAUUAUAGAUGCAGUCCGUAACUUUUCGCGCUCUAGUGGUUAAUAAACAGAAUUGCGUGCAUCUUGCGGAAGAACAUUGUAGGCGGAGCUACUUCUCUCUGUUUAUGUCUAUGACGAAUCAUGUGUUACUGGGCUACUCCGCAGCAGUGCCAACAUGAACCAGUCUAAAAUAGCUGAAUAUUAACACCGAUUAUUUGAAAAAUGGACUCAUGCUGUACUCGCUCAUUAUAUAAAUUUUGUAAAUUUUGAACAUAAAAAAGUUAUGGACUGAAGCUUUAACUUUACAGUUGUAGCAUCAUUUUUGGUCACAGUGAAAUGUUGACAUGUUAACGUGUUGUGUGGUUGAAAUAGAGUCUGAAACAGUCAGAACUCGCUGUCAGAGACAUGCUAAUUAAAUCAUUGUUUCAGUCAAAUGAUUUUUAACCCUCAAAACUAUUUUUUUUUUAGUGUGUCACUAAGCAAAAUAUUUUUGUCCCAGAGAGCCGUGGAGUUGUUCUUUUUCUUGUCUAAAAGUGUUAUGCGACUUCUAACAAGCGACAUAUUUUUCCAUUUCCAUAUCGUUGACUUAUUCAUGGGUUACUGUGGAAGAGAAAGUCCUAGAAUACGAACAGACGGUCGCAAGCUGUAGCUUUGUGCCUCAUGAGGUCUUUUUGCAAACUGUGGGACACACACACACUCACAAACACGCACACACACCUGUGACAAUUACAAUAAAAGUGAUAACACUUGCUUUAAAUUUCACACUAAGAGUCGACAUAUCACACUGAUAGGAAUUUCCCAAGUGAGUGUGUGUGUGAGUCAGGAACUGCUGAUGGCCGAGUUGUAUUGUGCUCACAAAGACUGGUCAUUUGAUCUCACAGUU